UGGGAGAGCCCGGUCUGUAUGGGAAGAGACUUUGAAGGAGAGGGACGACGGCGUCUGUGCGCGCGGGCACAGCGUGGCACAGCUUUUGCGCACACAGUUUCGUGCCGAUGAAGACUGCGAUAGAGUUGAGACGUGUUUCUACAGCAACGAGCCACCUCCUUGUUCAUAUUGGGAACUUUGACUAAGGAUCCCACAAGUGGAGCAUGCAUCACUUUUCACACAUCUUUCCCACUUGGCCAGAGCAUCAGCACCUUGGCUUUAGACUGCUUACUGCUUAUACAGUGUCAUGGUACAGUAACAGUCUACAGUCAUGGCUACUGAAGCCUGGCAAUGCACCAAAACACCGUGCCGGGAGAGCAACAUGCACAAGACGAGGCCACGUCGCCAUGAAAUAAUAGUUACUGGAAAAUACUGCUUGGUACUAAAAUGGUUGACGGCUGAAGUUCACUGCGUGGGCUGAAGGUUUCUCUUUCUGUGUGCGUCUCUUCUCUCUGGCUCUGUAAGGAAACCUGUGUGGGCUUGCAUUGGGGGAGUCCUGCACGAUCUCGGUGCGUAAUGUUCACACGCAAACCAAUGAGACCUCGCGGUUCCCAGUCUCCAGUUGCCAUGCCAACGCCGGCUCCUCCUCACUUCCUGCUGUCUCCAUGGCGACCGUGGCUUUAGAUUGUUACUCUAGCAUCAGCACCAUGGUAACAGUCUACAGCCAUGGUCGUUAGGGACAGUUAACAUCGGGGAGGGGGAAAAAAAAGAGACCCGAGUUUGUAUGCGAGUGAUCUCCUCUCAUUCAGAAAGUAGUUCUGAGGGCAUUAACUCAUCUGUGUGCACUAAUGUCAAGUUUGACCUCUUGUUUGAAUAUGUAAACAUGUUAUCUGAUUCAAAGUUAGUUCAAAGACUGGCACAUGACACAUUGUUUUUUUAAUUUUUGUUUUUUUAAUUGGAUAAAAUGAGUUUAUUUCAGGUUUGGUCUUCAAAUGCAGUAAUGAAUGCAACAAGCACAUGCUGAACGGAUGAGUCACCCAGCUCUAUCACCACCUGCUCCGCUCUCUGUUGAUCAGACAAGAGCAGUCACACUUCAAAGCAGCAAGGGGGGAAAAAAAAAUAUUCCCAGUGGGCAGCAGUGUAACCUGCAGGCGGGACCUGAACCACACAGUGCAUCUACACGGGUGGGCUAACCCACAUGUUUACAUAUCUCUCUCUCUCACACACACACACGUUUGCACAACAUUCAUAGUGAGGACACUCAUAGACAUAAUGCAUUCCCUAGCUCUUUACCCUUACCUUACCCUAAAACCAAAUCUAAACCCUCAAAAAAGGUUGGUUUAAGUUUUUUGGUCCUCACAAAGAUACCCAUACAAGAACACACACACACUCACAGAAAACAUAUGUCCUUGAUCCACUCUCUUCCUCAAGUACCACUCAUAUGUAGAGAUACUCUGCCCUCUGCAGGUCAGGAUUUGUCUGUUCAAAACAAACUUUUUCCAGGGUUGAAAUUGUGUAUUUUGUAGCAGAAUAUGUUCCUGAUUUUAAUAAAGACCAAAUAAACAAUUCAAAAACA